rnacentral:rRNA from 1 species
UACGGAGGGAGCUAGCGUUGUUCGGAAUUACUGGGCGUAAAGCGCACGUAGGCGGCAUAGCAAGUCGGAUGUGAAAUCCCUCGGCUCAACCAAGGAAGUGCAUCCGAAACUGCUGUGCUUGAGUACGAAAGAGGAUCGCGGAAUUCCCGGUGUAGAGGUGAAAUUCGUAGAUAUCGGGAGGAACACCAGUGGCGAAGGCGGCGAUCUGGGUCGAUACUGACGCUGAGGUGCGAAAGCGUGGGGAGCAAACAGG